CUCCUGUCACUACAUUGGCAGAGUGGCAGAACACAACGUAGCAAACCCCAGUUUUCCAGCUUACCAAUAGGCCUGCUAGCAAAAAUGUCCCUCUCCAUCCCAGGAGGCCAAGUUUGGAGGUCCCUCAUCCAGCUGGUCUGCAGGAAGAACUUUCUUCUUAAACUUGAAGAGCCCUGUGGAAGUAACAAGAGAUAAUGUGACCAAUGCUAUGAACUCUGGAUUCCCAGAAAUUAACACAUUUGAUGAUGGAGUAGAGGUAAGCCUAGAAAAAGGUUUCUUAUCUUUCUCCUCAUCUGACAUCUCAUUCCCAAAUACAGUUAUUUUGUCUCCAUAAUGUCUUUCUGUACUUUUGCAGCCAUAUUAGUAACAUAUGGCACUGCUUUCAAGUUGGUUUUGCUUUUAGGAUCCUUGUUUAGAGAUACUACCUUAUAUUACUUUACAUUUGUGGACCCUUUUUAGGUAGCCCAUGGACCUCCUGAUAAGCGUAGACAACAGCUGAGAAAUGACUGCAGUAAUCUUACUCAGUGAAAGGCGCCUAUUCUGAUAUUGUGUGAAUAGUGUGAAAUGCAGGAAAUGCCACCUUUUCCUUGUGCUAGUUGAAGGUCCCAAGCUUACAUUAUUUAGCUGUGGAGACACUUCCAUAUAGGUCUCCAUACAUUAGUCAGGUAGGAAUGGGGCUUGAAAAGCAACACUCAACACAAAGGAAUGAGAUGCCAUUGCACAAGGUAUAUCAAAUGUAAUUUUUGCAGUUUUGGCUGAGGAAAAUCUUCCUACAGAUUUAAAAACUCACUACUAUCUCACUGGAAAUGCAGUCACUAAGUGACCAAAUAUUAUUGGAGAGCAGGAAACAUUGCUUUGACUACAGUACGUACUACCAAAAGCUGGAUAAUUGCUUCAGAGAAUAUAUCCCAUAUAGGUAUAGUUUCUUUCUUCCCAGUAUUUACCCAAAGGAACUUCUUGCUUAUUAAAGCAUAUUCUUGAAUAAAAAGCAUAAUCUUGAAUAAAAAGACAUUUAACUGAAUUAGAAUAAGCUUUAAGCUAUUGCUUUCUGUCAUUUAAAACAAUAUAUAAGAAAACAAAAU
rnacentral:lncRNA from 1 species